AUCUGUGGCCAUACCACCCUGAACGCAUCCAAUCUUGUCUAAUCUCAGAAGCUAAGCAGGGUUGGCCUGGUUAGUGCGUGGAUAGGAGACCCCCUGGGAAUACCAGGUGUUAUAGGCU
ensembl:rRNA 5S_rRNA 5S ribosomal RNA